AGUCUUAUAUUCAAUAAUGAUAUAAAAUUGCAAAUUUUAAGGGGUAAUAAUUAUUACUAAGGCUU
rnacentral:tRNA from 1 species